UGAAUUUUCAAGGUUUCAGAUUUGAGUCUAUCAAAAACUAGCCCAACUAACAAACUCCGAGUCAUAUCUUCUUUAUCAUAUAGUUGGUACACUGGAUAUUGUGAUUUACUAUAUUGGGAAACUCACUUCUAGAGGUUGAGGUGCAUGAAUAAGUUUUGGGGCCAAACCGGUUUGGGUUGGGCCAAAGAUGCUUAAAUUGGGUUUUUGUUCAAACUGGUUCGAGUGAAGUCUGUUUUUGAGGGGAAAGAUCGGGUUUGACUAGUUUGAAACCAGGUUUGAACAAAACCUAAUUUGACUAGUUACACCCGAACCAGUUUGGACAAAUUAUAGGGUUACAUAUUUCAACUCUACGGUUAAUUCGGGUUUGGCUGGUUUCAAAGUAUAUUAGUAUAUGAUUACAAACCAAUUUUAACCAGACUGUUCUUUUGAGGUCCAAACCGGGUUCAACCAAACCGGUUUGCAAAUUGGGUUUGGUUUGGGUAUAAAACCGGAUUUGGCAACUACCCUUUAUAUUCUGCAUCAGUUUGAUGUGAUAUUAAUAUGAUUUACAGUUGAAUCAUCUCAUUUUUUGUACUUGGAAACACUAAAAUUUAAUAUAAGAGGUACCAAUUAUAUGGUAAACAAAACCAAUUGUCUUCAUAAAUUGGAAACACUAAAAUUAAAUAUAAGAGGUACCAAUUAUAUGGUAAACAAAACCAAUUUGCCUUCAUAAAACUCUACCCCAAUAAUCUCUAUUUAUACAUCAAUUUGC
rnacentral:lncRNA from 1 species